rnacentral:rRNA from 1 species
CCUACGGGAGGCAGCAGUGAGGAAUAUUGGUCAAUGGUCGGGAGACUGAACCAGCCAAGCCGCGUGAGGGAUGAAGGUACAGAGUAUCGUAAACCUCUUUUGUCAGGGAACAAAGCCUGGGACGUGUCCCCUGAUGCGUGUACCUUACGAAAAAGCAUCGGCUAACUCCGUGCCAGCAGCCGCGGUAAUACGGAGGAUUCAAGCGUUAUCCGGAUUUAUUGGGUUUAAAGGGUGCGUAGGCGGUCGGAUAAGUUAGAGGUGAAAUCCCGAGGCUCAACUUCGGAAUUGCCUCUGAUACUGGUGGACUAGAGAGUAGUUGCGGUAGGCGGAAUGUAUGGUGUAGCGGUGAAAUGCUUAGAGAUCAGACAGAACACCGAUUGCGAAGGCAGCUUACCAGGCUACGUCUGACGUUGAGGCACGAAAGCGUGGGGAGCAAACAGGAUUAGAUACCCUGGUAGUC